GUAGGGUGCAAGCGUUGUCCGGAAUCACUGGGUGUAAAGGGAGCGCAGGCGGGAAGACAAGUUGGAAGUGAAAACCAUGGGCUCAACCCAUGAAUUGCCUUCAAAACUGUUUUUCUUGAGUAGUGCAGAGGUAGAUGGAAUUCCCGGUGUAGCGGUGGAAUGCGUAGAUAUCGGGAGGAACACCAGUGGCGAAGGCGGUCUACUGGGCACCAACUGACGCUGAGGCUCGAAAGCAUGGGUAGCAAACAGGAUUAGAUACCCUGGUAGUCCAUGCCGUAAACGAUGAUUACUAGGCGUUGGGGGAUUGACCCCCUCAGUGCCGCAGUUAACACAAUAAGUAAUCCACCUGGGGAGU
rnacentral:rRNA from 1 species